rnacentral:lncRNA from 1 species
AAGGAUGUGGAAAAGUUCGACAUGUACAAAAUGAUGGAAGAGUUGUAGAAAUCAUGGACGCCUAUUAUGUUCCCGAGCUGAAGGGAAAUAUUUUAAGCACGGUAAGAUGUUGGGAAAAGGUAACUCAGUUAUAAUAAAGUAUCAAGUAAUGUAUUUGAAGGAUAAGCAUGGUCGUCUUGCAACCCAGGUAGAAAUAAAUAAAAAUCGAAUGUAUAAACUAGAGUUGAAGAUCUUGUAGGAGUGGUGUUUGAAGCUGGACAUGAAAUAUGAAGCUAUGAUGUGGCCCUUUCGGUUUUGACAUCUUAAUUUUGGAAGUCUGGCC